UGGGGAAUAUUGGACAAUGGGGGAAACCCUGAUCCAGCAACGCCGUGUGAGUGAUGAAGGUCUUCGGAUUGUAAAGCUCUGUUAGCCGGGAAAAAACUCGUGAGCAUCAGAUCCUCACGAUUGAUGGUACCGGCAGAGGAAGCACCGGCUAACUCUGUGCCAGCAGCCGCGGUAAUACAGAGGGUGCGAGCGUUAUUCGAAAUUAUUGGGCGUAAAGCGCAAGUAGGUGGUGAGAUAAGUCUUGUGUGAAAUACUCGGGCUCAACCCGAGAGGGUCAUAGGAAACUGUCUCGCUAGAGUGCAAUAGGGGAGAGCGGAAUUCCCAGUGUAGUAGUGAAAUACGUAGAUAUUGGGAGGAACACCGGUGGCGAAGGCGGCCAACUGGCUCGAUACUGACGCUGAGGUGCGAAAGCGUGGGGAGCAAACAGGAUUAGAUACCCUAGUAGUCCCUGAGCGGGCUGGCAAGGCGCAU
rnacentral:rRNA from 1 species